UGGGGAAUAUUGCGCAAUGGGCGAAAGCCUGACGCAGCGACGCCACGUGAGGGAUGAAGGUUUUCGGAUCGUAAACCUCUGUCAGAAGGGAAGAAACCGCACUGUGCUAAUCAGCAGUGCCUUGACGGUACCUUCAAAGGAAGCACCGGCUAACUCCGUGCCAGCAGCCGCGGUAAUACGGAGGGUGCAAGCGUUAAUCGGAAUUACUGGGCGUAAAGCGCACGUAGGCUGCUUUGUAAGUCAGGGGUGAAAUCCCACGGCUCAACCGUGGAACUGCCUUUGAUACUGCUUAGCUUGAAUCCGGGAGAGGGUGGCGGAAUUCCAGGUGUAGGAGUGAAAUCCGUAGAUAUCUGGAGGAACAUCAGUGGCGAAGGCGGCCACCUGGACCGGUAUUGACGCUGAGGUGCGAAAGCGUGGGGAGCAAACAGG
rnacentral:rRNA from 1 species